rnacentral:RNase_P_RNA from 19 species
UGAGUCGGCCGGGCGGCCGCGUCGGGGUGCGUCCCCGUCGAGGAAAGUCCGGACUCCACAGGGCAGGGUGGUUGCUAACGGCAACCCGGGGUGACCCGCGGGAAAGUGCCACAGAAAGCAGACCGCCCGGCGGAGUGCCCAGGCACUCCGGCCGAGCAAGGGUGAAACGGUGGUGUAAGAGACCACCAGCGCCCCGGGUGACCGGGGCGGCUCGGUAAACCCCACCCGGAGCAAGGCCAAGAGGACACCGCCAGGUGUCUGCGCAGGCGUUCGAGGGUUGCCCGCCCGAUGCCUGCGGGUAGGCCGCUGGAGCCUGCCGGCGACGGCAGGCCGAGAUGGAUGGCCGCCGACUGGGAGCGCCGCAAGGCCCCCACGAACAGGAUCCGGCUUACAGGCCGACUCGUCCG